AACGGCCGUACCAUGCUGAAUAUACCGGUUCUCGUUAGAUCACCUAAGUCAAGCAUCAUUGGCAGUACUUGGGUGGGUGACCACCUGGGAACACCGCGUGCCGUU
rnacentral:rRNA from 1 species